GUUUACACCUGUAUUUAGCGUCAUCCACUUGUGAUCUGAUCAACCAAAACACAUCUUAAUACCAGGAGUAAACAGGGCCUGAGAGACGAGGGAGAGCAGGAUCCAACUGCAGACAUUUAUUUAAUACCCCGGGGUGCCUUUAGUGCCCUACUGGGAAUUGGAGAUACCACUUUUGUAAACUUACUGUUUUUUUGUUUGUUUGUUUUUUGUAUUUUGGCUACUAUAUAGUAGGGAAGCAUGCAAUUUCGGAUGCAGCCAAUGGCUUAAAUGCAUAAGGACUAAUCAGGGUAACAAGACACAGAAAAGGGCUGUGUUUAUCUCCACUUUUAGACAUACAUUUGCAAACACUCUACCUCACCCUCGAGGGAAUCCCCACCGCCAUAAGUGCAUUCAACAGCGUCAAGUGGACAAUGGAACUUUACUUGGACAGACCCUCAACCCUUCUAUUUUGUAAGCAGUCGUGCAGAAUAAGCAAUGAUGUACAUCGGAAUGAAUGAGACAGAGGGAAGUUAGCGAGGGAAGGGCAUAAAAAAAUGGACUUAGAAGAUGACGAAAAAACAAUCAGUGAAUCACAAAGGGGAAGGGAACAGGAACAAGACAACUCUACAAACUAAAAGUCCAUAUACAAAAUAAGAGAACAGGGACAAAGACCUUGUUACAGUAUAAUAUUUGCACUUUUUUUUUUUCUUUCAGCAGGGGCUAACUGUCUAAUCAAGUCAAACUCUCCGCACAAAUCUUCUCUAACCACCUGCCACCAUUCUGCUAGUUAAAAUAGCCCAUCUACAAUCAUCAAAUUCUUCUCGCUGGAACUGUUAGGUCAAGUUACAUCAAAGAGAUCAAGAAGGAUCAAGCUCUUAAAAGGGACAGGCUCCAGCUCCCAUCAUCAGAAACAGAUGAUGCCCCACUUCAUGAAGGAAGACUAACUACUUCAAGACUGUGCAGCUUUCCUUUCCCGUACCCUGGCAUAGAGAGAUUAUGGGAGUAAAGUUGACAGCUUGUAUACUAGUUCAAAUGGGAGAUGACUAAUUUGUUUGUAUUUAUAAUUUGUUUGUGUGGAUGUGGGUAUUUAGACAUGGAAUCACACUUGGUUGAUCUAUGUCUAGGGUGGAUAAACAAGGAUAGGAAUCUUUAAAGCAGCAGAUCAAAUCCUGUUUUAUUUUAACCAUUUGUCUGUUAGCAUUAGUAAUUUUUUGCAGAAGUCCCUUAUUUUCUGAGAUAUCUAAGUAAAACCACAUCAAAUGUGCUCCUGUGCUGCUAGCAAAACCAGUCCUGCACUGGCUCCACUGUAUUUUUCAAUGAAAAGUAUUUUGGUUGGCCUGCACAUGUGUGUAUGUCUACGAAAUGCUGUGGGCCCCUUCAAAAUGACACAGCUGAGCCCCAAAGCGCCACACUCCUACCCUCUCGUAUAGGUGGAAAUAAGAAGAGGUGUGGAAAGCAAAUAUUAGCUUCACAUUAUUUAAUUGGCAUUGUACUCAUCUGACACUGACCAAUCUCAAGAAAGACUUUGGUCAUGAAUCUUUGGUCACUGAAUCUGAAUUGUAAAAUUCUAAAGAGAACGUGUUUAUCAACUCAAAACAUCUACUGAUUUAUUGCUUGGAUAUAAUGUAUUUUAAAAAGUGAAAGAGAAAAAGUGAC